GACGAACCGUGCGAACGUUAUUCGGAAUCACUGGGCUUAAAGCGCGUGUAGGCGGGACGGCACGUCUGUCGCUGAAAUCCCCCGGCUUAACCGGGGAACUGGCGGAGAUACGACCGUCCUGGAGGGGCGUAGGGGGACCUGGAACUUCCGGUGGAGCGGUGAAAUGCGUUGAGAUCGGAAGGAACGCCCGUGGCGAAAGCGAGGUCCUGGACGCCUACUGACGCUGAGACGCGAAAGCCAGGGGAGCGAACGGG
rnacentral:rRNA from 1 species